rnacentral:misc_RNA from 1 species
GUAAUUAGAAUUAAUAUAACAUAGAUAGUGGAGGCCAAAGUCAUUACAGAGGAAGAAGUAGAAACAACAAGAAAGGUGAUUUUAAACAUAGAUCCCGAGGAUUCAGACUAGGGUAUGGAUCCAGCAGUGGUUACAGUUCGGGUUACAGCAGUUCUGGGUCUAGUUCAAGAUCCUCAUUUGCACCUUGCUUGCAGUGUGAAAGAGGACAUUUAGGACCUUGUAUGAUGGGUUCAGG